rnacentral:rRNA from 1 species
GUGGGGAAUCUUAGACAAUGGGCGCAAGCCUGAUCUAGCCAUGCCGCGUGGGUGAUGAAGGCCUUAGGGUCGUAAAGCCCUUUCGCCGGGGAAGAUAAUGACGGUACCCGGUAAAGAAACCCCGGCUAACUCCGUGCCAGCAGCCGCGGUAAUACGGAGGGGGUUAGCGUUGUUCGGAAUGACUGGGCGUAAAGCGCGCGUAGGCGGAUCAUCAAGUCGGGGGUGAAAUCCCGGGGCUCAACCCCGGAAUGGCCUUCGAGACUGGUGGUCUUGAGUUCGAGAGAGGUGAGUGGAAUUCCGAGUGUAGAGGUGAAAUUCGUAGAUAUUCGGAGGAACACCAGUGGCGAAGGCGGCUCACUGGCUCGACACUGACGCUGAGGUGCGAAAGCGUGGGGAGCAAACAGGAUUAGAAACCCCAGUAGUCC